rnacentral:tRNA from 1 species
GACAAUGUGGCCGAGUGGUUAAGGCGACGCACUCGAAUAAUUAGAGUGAUGCGUUGGGAUUUCCCGCGCAGGUUCGAAUCCUGCUGUUGUCG